CGAAAAAGCUCAUAACACAGAGCAGCAAUAAACGCCCCACCUUACCCGCUCUCUGUCUCUCACCGCCACUGGUUUUUCGGGUACGGAUAUAAACUAGAACGCUUUCAUUUUUGGCUGUAUACGCACCUGUUUUUCCGGUUCAGUCCCCGCCGGGAAAAUCAAGUUCUAAACUGAAUCUUCCCUUUCCUGAUGCUUUCCAUUUCCAGUCCAUCCUCACCGGAACCCUAUAUCAGAAAACCCAAAAGCCAGCCGUACGAAGUCCUUCCUCGCAAGAGCUCGCUUAACUCCCUUAAUUCUCUCCUUGCGAAUUCUUACUUUAAUCAAUCCCGCGCAUGGCUACUCCUCUCCAUCCUCUCCAUCCAGAUCAUUCUCCUCCUUGGUCUCCGCUCAAUUCCUUUCUCUUUUCCCCACCGCCAACAUUUCCCCUCCCCGUAUACUGACCAUCUCAACAUCUCUGCCAAAACCAUCAUCAAUAUCAGCCCCUCUGCAGCAGCAACUACUGAUGAAGAUGAAUGUGGAUCAGGAAGAGUCUUUGUCUACGAUCUCCCCAGCAGGUUCAACACUGAAUUGAUUCGAAACUGCGACGAGUUGAACCCAUGGAGUUCCAGGUGCGAUGCCUUGGCUAAUGACGGUUUUGGCCAGAAAGCCACCGGGCUUUCGGGGCUUGUGCCGGAAAGUCUGGCUCCCGCAUGGUAUUGGACUGAUCAAUUCGUCUCGGAGAUUAUCUUCCACAAUCGGAUUUUGAGGCACAAGUGCAGGACGACAGAGCCAAAUAAUGCGACGGCGUUUUACAUUCCUUUUUAUGCAGGAUUAGCCGUAGGCAAGUUUUUGUGGCAUAAUUGCACUGCCAAAGACCGUGAUCGGCUCUGCGAGAUGAUGCUGACGUGGGUCCAAGAUCAACCAUACUACAAGAAAUCGAACGGCUGGAAUCACUUCAUCACCAUGGGGCGUAUCUCGUGGGAUUUUCGACGGUCGAAAGAUCAGGAUUGGGGGUCAAGCUGCAUUUACAUGCCAGGUAUGAGAAACAUUACUCGCCUCUUGAUUGAACGAAAUCCGUGGGACUAUUUCGAUGUUGGUGUUCCUUACCCCACCGGCUUCCACCCCAGAUCGGACUCGGAUAUCCUGCAGUGGCAGGAGUUUGUCCGUACUAGGAACCGUACGAAUCUCUUCUGCUUCGCCGGGGCGAAACGCGGCGCUAUCAAGAACGAUUUUAGAGGCCUGUUGCUAAGCCAUUGCCAGAAUGAGGCGGACUCGUGUCGAGUCGUAGAUUGUGCCGGGACUCGUUGCUCCAACGGCACCUCGGCGAUUCUCGAGACGUUUUUGAAUUCCGAUUUUUGUUUGCAGCCGAGAGGCGAUAGUUUCACCCGUAGGUCCAUCUUUGAUUGCAUGUUGGCGGGUUCUAUUCCGGUUUUGUUCUGGAAACGAACCGCUUAUUACCAGUACGAUUGGUUCUUACCGGGCGAACCUGAGAGGUACUCUGUUUUUAUACACCGGAAUGAGGUAAAAAAUGGGACUUCCGUACGGGAAGUGCUUGA
rnacentral:misc_RNA from 1 species